rnacentral:rRNA from 1 species
CCCUUAGAUGUUCUGGGCCGCACGCGCGCUACACUGAUGCGUUCAACAAGUUUCCUUGGCCGAGAGGCCUGGGCAAUCUUCUUAAUAUGUAUCGUGAUAGGGAUAGAUUAUUGCAAUUAUUAAUCUUGAACGAGGAAUUCCUAGUAAGCGCAGAUCAUCAAUCUGCAUUGAUUACGUCCCUGCCCUUUGUACACACCGCCCGUCGCACCUACCGAUUGGAUGUUCCGGUGAAGCCUCGGGAUGAGGACUGGUGCCUUUAUUGGCAUGAGUUGUUCAGAACUUGUCUAAACCUUAUCAUCUAGAGGAAGGUGAAGUCGUAACA